UACGGAGGGGGCUAGCGUUGUUCGGAAUUACUGGGCGUAAAGCGCACGUAGGCGGACCAAAAAGUCAGAGGUGAAAUCCCAGGGCUCAACCUUGGAACUGCCUUUGAAACUCUUGGUCUUGAGUUCGAGAGAGGUGAGUGGAAUUCCGAGUGUAGAGGUGAAAUUCGUAGAUAUUCGGAGGAACACCAGUGGCGAAGGCGGCUCACUGGCUCGAUACUGACGCUGAGGUGCGAAAGCGUGGGGAGCAAACAGG
rnacentral:rRNA from 1 species